rnacentral:rRNA from 1 species
ACGUAGGUGGCAAGCGUUGUCCGGAUUUACUGGGCGUAAAGGGCUUGUAGGCGGUCCGUUAAGUCCGUUGUGAAAUCUCCCGACUCAACUGGGAGGGGUCUUCGGAAACUGGCGGACUCGAGGUGGGCAGAGGAAAGCAGAAUUCCCGGUGUAGCGGUGAAAUGCGUAGAUAUCUGGAGGAAUACCGGUGGCGAAGGCGGCAUCCUGGACCGACAUUGACGCUGAACGGCGAAAGCUAGGGGAGCAAACGGGA